UACGUAGGGUGCAAGCGUUGUUCGGAAUUAUUGGGCGUAAAGCGCGUGUAGGCGGCCUAGCAAGUCGGGUGUGAAAGCCCUCAGCUCAACUGAGGAAGUGCGCCCGAAACUGCUGGGCUUGAGUGCCGGAGAGGGUAGCGGAAUUCCCCAAGUAGAGGUGAAAUUCGUAGAUAUGGGGAGGAACACCGGCGGCGAAGGCGGCUACCUGGACGGCAACUGACGCUGAGACGCGAAAGCGUGGGGAGCAAACAGG
rnacentral:rRNA from 1 species